rnacentral:rRNA from 1 species
GCAUAACGCGAAGAACCUUACCCACCUUUGACAUGUACGGAAGACUGCAGAGAUGCGGUUGUGCUCGAAAGAGAGCCGUAACACAGGUGCUGCAUGGCUGUCGUCAGCUCGUAUCGUGAGAUGUUGGGUUAAGUCCCGCAACGAGCGCAACCCUUGCCAUUAGUUGCUACGAAAGGGCACUCUAAUGGGACUGCCGGUGACAAACCGGAGGAAGGUGGGGAUGACGUCAAGUCCUCAUGGCCCUUAUAGGUGGGGCUAGAAACGUCAUACAAUGGCCGGUACAAAGGGUCGCGAAGCCGCGAGGUGGAGCCAAUCCCAUAAAGCCGGUCGUAGUCCGGAUCGCAGUCUGCAACUCGACUGCGUGAAGUCGGAAUCGCUAGUAAUCGUGGAUCAGCAUGUCACGGUGAAUACGUUCCCGGGUCUUGUACACACCG